rnacentral:rRNA from 1 species
UACGUAGGGUGCGAGCGUUGUCCGGAAUUAUUGGGCGUAAAGGGCUCGUAGGCGGUCUGUUGCGUCGGGAGUGAAAACUCAGGGCUUAACCCUGAGCCUGCUUCCGAUACGGGCAGACUAGAGGUAUGCAGGGGAGAACGGAAUUCCUGGUGUAGCGGUGAAAUGCGCAGAUAUCAGGAGGAACACCGGUGGCGAAGGCGGUUCUCUGGGCAUUACCUGACGCUGAGGAGCGAAAAGUGUGGGGGAGCGAACAGG